rnacentral:rRNA from 1 species
GCACGCAGGCGGCUAUGUUAAGUCAGAUGUGAAAUCCCCGGGCUCAACCUGGGAACUGCAUCUGAUACUGGCAAGCUUGAGUCUCGUAGAGGGGGGUAGAAUUCCUGGUGUAGCGGUGAAAUGCGUAGAGAUCUGGAGGAAUACCGGUGGCGAAGGCGGCCCCCUGGACUAAGACUGACGCUCAGGUGCGAAAGCGUGGGGCGCAAAC